UACGAAGGGGGCUAGCGUUGCUCGGAAUCACUGGGCGUAAAGGGUGCGUAGGCGGGUCUUUAAGUCAGGGGUGAAAUCCUGGAGCUCAACUCCAGAACUGCCUUUGAUACUGAAGAUCUUGAGUUCGGGAGAGGUGAGUGGAGCUGCGAGUGUAGAGGUGAAAUUCGUAGAUAUUCGCAAGAACACCAGUGGCGAAGGCGGCUCACUGGCCCGAUACUGACGCUGAGGCACGAAAGCGUGGGGAGCAAACA
rnacentral:rRNA from 1 species